GCAGAAAGUCCUUCCUUUCGACUGUCCUGAAUUUUCAAACAUUCAGCUUCGCUGGAUGCCCCCACUGGGUUCUAGCAUUAUGAGAGAGGUUGACAAACUCUCUUGUCCACUUUCGCCACAGAAUUCCCAGCAACUGUCAUUCAGAGGCAUACUGCCUCCAACUGCAGAGGCAGAGCACAGCCACUGUGGCUAGCAAUCACUAUCAGUCCAUGCGCUGAUGGUGCCUGAGCGCAACAGCUUUCUCAGAACCUGAGCACAACAGCUUUCUUCCUACCUGCCUCUGACAGUCGUGGUAGAACUUAGCCAUCCAAGUUGGUGGCCAUCAGUUUUUCUUGUGGGAGUGAAUUCCAUAGUUUAACUCUGCCCUGUGUGAAGACGGAUGUCUUUCCUUUUGACUGCCCUGAAUUUUUCAGCACUGAAUGGGUGUUGAAUGGGUCCUGAAUCUUCUAACACUGAAUAACCCAUUGAGUUCUAGUAUUAUAUCACUAGUAUUAUAUCACUAUUUUUGAAAGGUCACACUUCCCCAUCCCGAACAUUAAAAUACCCACUAAUUCCAAUCCCUGAAGGGAAUCUUGAUAGAUUGCCUUGUAUGAAGGCAGAAGCAAAUCUAUCCUAUCAGCUGGAUUUUGGGACCAUUGAAGCACUAUCCAUGUAGGAGAAAAAGAUGCCUGUCGAUGGCAGCUGGCACUGAGGAAAGAGCCCAUUAAUCAGACCAACGGCUGCAAACUGUUUGCUGCCUUAUUGACUUCCGUUUGUCAGUUAUGAAUCAACCGUUGCAUAUAUGACCUCCACUUUUAAGCAGGGAUUGCAAUUAGCUGCAGCGAUAAAUAACACCUGUCUUUUGAAAGACAAAUGUAGGGCUCUUUGACCAGGAGGGUUUGAGCAUUCAAAGAAAAACCUUUGCUAAAUCUGGUAAUUGCUGUUGUUAUGAGUUGCUGCCUGAUUACUAGGGAUGGAAGGAUCUGCCAGUUUUGCUUCUCUAGGAUGGAAGGAUCUUUCAGCUUUAGUUCUCUUGGGGCCAGUUUACCUGUGAGAUCGUCUUCCCCCAUAUAUGCCCAC
rnacentral:lncRNA from 1 species